rnacentral:sRNA from 1 species
GUGGACGUAGCGCAGGAAGCGCGAACUUCUAAUCAUGGAUACGAUGGAAUGCCUGCCAGGAUGGCAAGCAGAUCAAGGAUGGUCAGCAACAGUCUGCAUGAACCUCGCUUUUAAAGCGGGGUUUU